GCGGGAGCGGCGGGGCGGCCCUGGGAGGGAAGGGCCCGGCUCGGCCCGGAGCGCAGAUAACGCCCGGCACUCCGGCGCCCGAGACUGCGAGACGCCGAGGCCACAGGGGUGACGGCUGAGGGCACAGCCGGGCGGGGACCGGGACCCAAAGUCCCCCAACGCCAGGUCCCUGAGUGCCAGGUCGCUCACCCUCGAAGCCCCAAGCCUGACUCUGCACGAGAUCUGGAUACUGAGGCGUCUGCCAGGCAACAGAAGCCCCUUUGCCUUUCCAGCGCAGGAGAGCCUCAGGCUCCUGCUCUGCACACCCCUCCCCACUCCAACUCCAGCCCUCACUGGCUCAGUGCAA
rnacentral:sRNA from 1 species